rnacentral:rRNA from 1 species
AGUGAACGCUGGCGGUAGGCCUAACACAUGCAAGUCGAACGGCAGCACAGUAAGAGCUUGCUCUUACGGGUGGCGAGUGGCGGACGGGUGAGGAAUACAUCGGAAUCUACUUUUUCGUGGGGGAUAACGUAGGGAAACUUACGCUAAUACCGCAUACGACCUACGGGUGAAAGCAGGGGAUCUUCGGACCUUGCGCGAUUGAAUGAGCCGAUGUCGGAUUAGCUAGUUGGCGGGGUAAAGGCCCACCAAGGCGACGAUCCGUAGCUGGCCUGAGAGGAUGAUCCGCCACACUGGAACUGAGACACGGUCCAAACUCCUACGGGAGGCAGGAGUUGGGAAUCUUGGACAAUGGGCGCAAGCCUGAUCCGGCCAUACCGCGUGAGUGAAGAAGGCCUUCGGGUUGUAAAGCCCUUUUGUUGGGAAAGAAAAGCAGCAGGUUAAUACCCCGCUGUUCUGACGGUACCCAAAGAAUAAGCACCGGCUAACUUCGUG